rnacentral:rRNA from 1 species
GGGUUGUGAGGUUAAGCGACUAAGCGUACACGGUGGAUGCCCUGGCAGUCAGAGGCGAUGAAGGACGUGCUAAUCUGCGAAAAGCGUCGGUAAGGUGAUAUGAACCGUUAUAACCGGCGAUGUCCGAAUGGGGAAACCCAGUGCAAUUCGUUGCACUAUCGUUAACUGAAUACAUAGGUUAACGAGGCGAACCGGGGGAACUGAAACAUCUAAGUACCCCGAGGAAAAGAAAUCAACCGAGAUUCCCCCAGUAGCGGCGAGCGAACGGGGAGCAGCCCAGAGUCUGAAUCAGCUUGUGUGUUAGUGGAACGGUCUGGAAAGUCCGACGGUACAGGGUGAUAGUCCCGUACACCAAAAUGCACAGGUUGUGAACUCGAAGAGUAGGGCGGGACACGUGGUAUCCUGUCUGAAUAUGGGGGGACCAUCCUCCAAGGCUAAAUACUCCUGACUGACCGAUAGUGAACCAGUACCGUGAGGGAAAGGCGAAAAGAACCCCGGCGAGGGGAGUGAAAAAGAACCUGAAACCGUGUACGUACAAGCAGUGGGAGCACCUUCGGGUGUGACUGCGUACCUUUUGUAUAAUGGGUCAGCGACUUAUAUUCUGUAGCAAGGUUAACCGUAUAGGGGAGCCGCAGGGAAACCGAGUCUUAACUGGGCGUUAAGUUGCAGGGUAUAGACCCGAAACCCGGUGAUCUAGCCAUGGGCAGGUUGAAGGUUGGGUAACACUAACUGGAGGACCGAACCGACUAAUGUUGAAAAAUUAGCGGAUGACUUGUGGCUGGGGGUGAAAGGCCAAUCAAACCGGGAGAUAGCUGGUUCUCCCCGAAAGCUAUUUAGGUAGCGCCUCGUGAACUCAUCUUCGGGGGUAGAGCACUGUUUCGGCUAGGGGGUCAUCCCGACUUACCAACCCGAUGCAAACUACGAAUACCGAAGAAUGUUAUCACGGGAGACACACGGCGGGUGCUAACGUCCGUCGUGAAGAGGGAAACAACCCAGACCGCCAGCUAAGGUCCCAAAGUCAUGGUUAAGUGGGAAACGAUGUGGGAAGGCACAGACAGCCAGGAUGUUGGCUUAGAAGCAGCCAUCAUUUAAAGAAAGCGUAAUAGCUCACUGGUCGAGUCGGCCUGCGCGGAAGAUGUAACGGGGCUAAACCAUGCACCGAAGCUGCGGCAGCGACACUAUGUGUUGUUGGGUAGGGGAGCGUUCUGUAAGCCUGCGAAGGUGACCUGUGAGGGUUGCUGGAGGUAUCAGAAGUGCGAAUGCUGACAUAAGUAACGAUAAAGCGGGUGAAAAGCCCGCUCGCCGGAAGACCAAGGGUUC